UUUUUCGGCAAGGAUAUCCACACCCUCCGUUGUUUUUCACACCUCAUCAACAAAACAACAAGGUGGAAAUAAUUCAGAAGUGCAAAGAAGAAUUAUCAUUAAGAGUUUGAGCAGAAAAAUUUCAAGGUCGAGAGCGACAAUAUUGGUUGAGGCAGACAUGAGACCCUGUGACAGCUCGAUUUCCAGAUCAUGUAUAAUUAGCUUUAUCGCAUUUCUCUUUCGAAAAUAAAGAGUGGUAUACUUUGAACUUUUGUAUUAUAGUUUUCGUAUCACUCAUAUUAUGUACGGGUAUCUUUGCGUACGUAUGUAAACGUACUUAUU